rnacentral:rRNA from 1 species
AGAGUUUGAUCCUGGCUCAGAACGAACGCUGGCGGCAGGCUUAACACAUGCAAGUCGAACGCCCCGCAAGGGGAGUGGCAGACGGGUGAGUAACGCGUGGGAAUCUACCGUGCCCUGCGGAAUAGCUCCGGGAAACUGGAAUUAAUACCGCAUACGCCCUACGGGGGAAAGAUUUAUCGGGGUAUGAUGAGCCCGCGUUGGAUUAGCUAGUUGGUGGGGUAAAGGCCUACCAAGGCGACGAUCCAUAGCUGGUCUGAGAGGAUGAUCAGCCACAUUGGGACUGAGACACGGCCCAAACUCCUACGGGAGGCAGCAGUGGGGAAUAUUGGACAAUGGGCGCAAGCCUGAUCCAGCCAUGCCGCGUGAGUGAUGAAGGCCUUAGGGUUGUAAAGCUCUUUCACCGGAGAAGAUAA